rnacentral:ribozyme from 17 species
GUUACUCUGAUAAUCACACACCUCUCCGUGGUGGGCAGCAGGCAACGAUCUUAAGAUCGGCUGAGAUGUGAUU